rnacentral:rRNA from 1 species
GACGAACGCUGGCGGCGUGCUUAACACAUGCAAGUCGUACGGUAAGGCCCUUUCGGGGGUACACGAGUGGCGAACGGGUGAGUAACACGUGAGUAACCUGCCCACAACUUUGGGAUAACGCUAGGAAACUGGUGCUAAUACUGGCUAUGUGCUCCUGCUGCAUGGUGGGGGUUGGAAAGCUCCGGCGGUUGUGGAUGGACUCGCGGCCUAUCAGCUUGUUGGUGGGGUAGUGGCCUACCAAGGCGGCGACGGGUAGCCGGCCUGAGAGGGUGACCGGCCACAUUGGGACUGAGAUACGGCCCAGACUCCUACGGGAGGCAGCAGUGGGGAAUAUUGCACAAUGGGCGCAAGCCUGAUGCAGCAACGCCGCGUGCGGGAUGACGGCCUUCGGGUUGUAAACCGCUUUCAGCAGGGACGAAGCUUUUUGUGACGGUACCUGCAGAAGAAGCACCGGCUAACUACGUG